UACGUAGGGGGCUAGCGUUGUCCGGAUUUACUGGGCGUAAAGCGCGCGUAGGCGGAACGAUCAGUCCGGUCUGAAAGCCCCCGGCUCAACCGGGGAGGGUGGCUGGAAACUGUCGUUCUUGAGGGCGAGAGAGGAGGGUGGAAUUCCUGGUGUAGCGGUGAAAUGCGUAGAGAUCAGGAAGAACACCGGUGGCGAAGGCGCUCUGCUAGGCCGCAACUGACACUGAGGGACGAAAGCUAGGGGAGCGAAUGGG
rnacentral:rRNA from 1 species